UGGUCUCUCUUCCUUUAGACCAAGCACGGGUACGGAGUAGAUGGAGUUAAACACCUUUUAAGUUGACAGAACGAGGAGACAAAUGAUCAGAAGUCCAUUCACUGUUUCACCGCUCAUGAGGGGGAGAGCCUUUGCAACAUACAGCCGGUCCCGCGACCUGCUCCCGUCAGUUGCUUCGGACAGACUCUCGCCGUUCUGCUGAAAACGGCUGAUUUUUAUUGAAGAUUACAGGAAUGUUACAUACGUAGUUUGCCAUACACACACGUAAUUCUGCCAUCUGCACCUGCAGACGCACGUCAGCUAAUAGCCUUGUUAAUGAAAGACCAAUUCAUCCCAAGGACAUGCAACCUUGAGAUGAUCAGGACACAUCCUGCAACAUCCUUUGCUAACAAAGACAGUUGUUCUUGUAUUGAGGAACUGAAGGAAGGAACGCUUUCACUCCCUUAUGCAGCUGUUCAGCUUGAGCAGAAAAGGCACAGAGAGGUCUUUGAUAUUAUAACAAGAUUCCAUGAAAAGGCAUAUAAUAAUGUAUUUAUGAUAAUAUAUAAGGGGCAAAAGUGAGAGAUACAUAUUUAAUCAUAUAAAAGAGCUUAUAAUAAUAUAUGAAAGAGCUUAUAUGAGAGAUAUAUAUUUUCAAUCCCCCUUUUGAACUCUUUUAAGAGUUCAAUAAAGAUAUAAGAAAUCAAAACAAUAACACCAAAUUCCAUCAAAAAGAAUCCAAUAAGCAAAGUUUUAAAAUACCAAUACAAACAACCAAUCAGAUUACAUUUACUCAUCUUUCUAGCAGUAAACUAAUACAAAAAACAUGAUCAUACUUUCAACUGAACAUGUUACAACAUGUAUGGAUCGCAUGCAACUCCAUAUGAGGGCGAAAAACCCUAAUUAUCAUAUGUUUAUAGGGAAAAUUCCCCCAUGUCCCCCCAUUUGUCAUAUCUCAAUUUUGGGGCGAACACCUGUUGGCAUAGAGUGUGCAUGCCUAGGACAUCAAUGAUCAAAAGAAAUAAAAACAACACAAUCAAAAAACUCAUAGAAAUAAACAGUUUAAGGGAUUGUUACAGAAAUCACUCAAUAUUCUCACACUCUAACAACAUCUUCUUCAUCAUGAGAGUCAUCACUUUCAUCAGAGGGUUCCCCUCCCAAAUAGAUGUUAGGAUUGGCUAGUAACAAGGGCAUCUGGAUAAUUGGGUCAGCAGGUGGAGGGUGUAAAAUAUUACCCUUGUAAAAUAAAUGAGGGUGUUAAAUACAACCCUUGUAGAAUGUUCAUAGGGUGGUUACUUCUUCCCCCUGUUGAGGACCCUUCACUGGCUCCAGGCAGCUGCAGGGGGUGAUGAUGUCAUGAUUCUCGUCCUGCAGGAUGUGGUGGUAGCUUGGCAUGCUACUGCAGUCAGCUACUUCUCUUCCUGGUUUUUGGAUCCUUUCUCUGGUUAGGCAGAUGUCAGCUGCUUCUCUUCCAGGUUAGGCUCCUCCCGUCCAGCCGGACAGCGUGUGAUGUCCUCUCCGUGAUCCUGUAUGGCCCGGUCCACCUCGGUUCCGUCCACUUCCUUUUGGUGACUUUUAGCAGGACCCAGACGCCUGGCACCGAAGACGAAGCCUCUUCGUGUGUGUAGUUUUGGUCCAAUGAAGGCUUUCUCGGCUUGUGCAGUCCUUGAUCUCGGCAGAUAGUUGGUAGGAAGAUUCACACUCCGGCCGGACCAGAAGUUCCCCGGACCGAUCGCCUAGGGAUUAGAGGUUAUGCACAAAAAUGUCCUAGCUCUUACUGACCCUAGCCUCUGAUACCUUCAACAUCAGACACAUACAGUUACGAACAGCAAGUGCAAUUAAAGGUACAGUGACAUCACGACAUGGACACACAGACACACAAACACAUACACAUGCACAUACACAGAGAGAGAGAGGGAGAGAGUAAGAAUGUGUGUGGGAGAAAGAAAUGUGUGGGAUCCAUUUUGCCACCAGCAUCUCCACCUGUGUCACAGAGAAAAAAUUGCAAAGAAAUUAAAACAUAAAGCAAACAACAAUAAUUCAAUGAGUAUAAAUGAUCAAACUAAAAUAUACAACCAUGCAUGGGUUUUAUAACAGUUCCAGCAACACUGGAGAUGAUGCCUUGUACAAUGAAUUCUUAAGAUGUCCUUCAUUAAUUAGAGGUUAUAACCAAAUUGUUUCAGGAUCCUGAAUUUGAAUUUGAAUUGGUUAAUUUACUCAGAAUAGUCCAAUGUCUUUGUUGAUGUUUCUCAAGGCUCGGCCAUGCCCAUAUAGAUAAAUAAACAAACAAACAAGACAAACACAGUCAAACACACGGUCCAUACACGUCUCUGUGCCCUCACACACCAAGCAAAUGUCAGACUGAAGCGAAAGUGUGAAAUACUUAACCUAACGCUAAAUCAGUGGAAAGAAAAAAUAAGACCUAAGGCGUGUAAUCAAAUUAAUCCAACAAAACUUCCCAUAACUGCCGUUCUAAACUCAUGUUGCGGUGUGAUCUCUCCAAUUAAAAAUUAGGACAACCACUUUUACUAUCAAUUCAACCAAAUAGUUUCAGGUUGUCCCUUACCUAAACUACCUGUCUUUCUUACCUUCUUUCUUUCUUUCUUUCUUUCUUUUUUAGGAACACUACUCGCACAAGAAAUCCUAAGAAUUAAUUCACUACUUAAGGUUAAUUCAUAAAUAACGAAACUGCAGUUACAGGUUUGUUUGUGCAUAGUAUUGGUAAUCAGCAGUUUUUUUUUUCCUUAUCUCCUCAUCUAGAAGUGUUUCUGUGCUACUCCUUCAUCUAUAACACAAGUUAGUAUCAUCCUUAAAGCAUCUGAAAUUAAGCUGCAUUGCUAAAUCAAUAACGUGAUUUGUGCUAAGAGAUACUCCCCUAUCCUCUUCCUUUUUCCAGUGGCGCUGAAUGACAGAUUUUAGAUCAAUUUAACGUUUUAUCACUAUUACGUUUCAUUUAAUUAAUUUUGCUUUUUCUCUCUUAUUUUUGUCUAUUUAUUUAUUUAUGUUAUUUACUUAUUUAUCAUGCCAUCCUGUGAUGAUAAUCUUAAAGACUUUUUAGCCAAUUGUCGUCAAAAAGGCCAAUUAAAAAUAUUAUGUUAAAGAUUUCACAAGAUAAAAAUGUGAACAUAAUUUUUAUCGAAUGAGGGGUACAAUUAUUCAAUAUUUUUGUGACAUUAUUUUCUACGUUAGAACUUACAGCUGAUAGAAAAAUAUAGGAUCAGCUAGGUUUGGCUAGAUCUGUUGGGAAACUCAACGGAGCUGAAACAACACUGUUGUCUCGGAUGAGAUGUUCCAUGAAUCAUUUAGUCAGCUGAAUGCCAAAUUAUUCAUUUAAUGUUUAUUUUUAUGCAAUGAAUGGAAUGGGAUGGAACGUUACUAUAAACUGUCCGGAAAUUUGCGCAUGUUUGCUCGAAGGAGAAAACUGUUGAAGCCUAAAGCGUUCUCCUAGACUUAUAAAUAGACACCGUUUCCUUAACUAAUGAAGAUAAGUGAUGACGCCGAUGAAUGACUUUUUGAAAAGAAAAUAAGGCUUUACUGCAUGUCCGCUGCAGCUGAGAAUCCUAAGACAAUAAAGAUUAUAUUGACGUCCAAUGGUGAGUUGGGCUGAAAUCCAGGUUACUAAUCCUAUUAUUUAUUUAUUUAUUGAUAUUAUUAGUAUCUUUUUUUAGGCUAACUUUCUCAGUUAACUAUGUUCUACAGUAGUUUAGUAAAUUUUCCACAGUUCUGACAUUUCAUCAAUUCAACUGGUUGUUGCCAAAAAGCCUUGUUCAUUACCUGACUGCAGCAAGCACUCUUUUACUGGGUGUAACCAUAGGAAACAGUCUCUUUUGAGCCUCUCUUUGUAAGUCCAGGAUGACCACCGUCAUUGAUUGAAGUUCACAUGUUAGCACACAUGCUCCCCCUUUUGUACUUUGUUUCAUCAGCAGCAGGGCAAAUAAGUUUCUGCCUCUUUGUCCAUCUUGUAGUGCUCCCCGUCUUUAUGUUAUGAGUCACAGCUUUUGGUGAGGGCUUCCAGGUUCUCUUUGUAUAGAAGUCAGAGCCAAACAUUCUUUGCAGCUGGUUGUGACAGGCCCACCCAGUAAAGUUCAUGCCUGCCACAAUGCACAGCAAACGUUUUCCUUAAAUAUGUUGAUUGAGUUAAAAUGACAGAACUUUCUCUUUUACAAAUCAAAAUCAACGAUGGUUUCUAAUAUUUAGUCGACUUUAUUGACUCAAAGGUAAAUCUAGACUACUUCCUAUGCACAAUUUUUCUGAAUCGUCAAAUCGGUUCUACACAGGUUUUAAACUUUAGGCACAAUCUAUCCCAAAUGCAAGAUCCCUCCUUUCAUUUUUUAUUUAUCUAUUUUAUUUUGGGAAAAUAACUACCAGUUUUUAACUCAAAACAGCCUAGUACAGUUUCUAGCCAGGUUACAGGAAAUAAUACUUAGUUUAUCUGUUUUUUCAUUAUUCAGCGUCCCAAAAUCCAGCCAUUAACGUUAAUGGUUCUUAAAGUUGAGGCAAGACAAUUAUUGGAUUUUGUUUUAUAGCAAGAUUUAACAAAUAUUUUAUUUCCUUACUGAUUAUUUGUUAAUUUUAUGGUUUUCAUAAAGAUGAUCCUGAGAGGUUCAGAGCUGCUUUUCGCAGCGCCCUGUGCUAUUUUUAGACUGCGGGACUCCUGUGUGUAAAAGUGGGUGGAGUCAGGUCCCCAGGCUGAAACUCCAGUCAUUCUCACUAGAUCUGUCCGAGAGGAAGGAUCUCCUGAAUACCCUAACCAGAAGCCUUAAGUCUCUUGAACUAAAUAACCGUCUAGCAAAAACAUGGACCGCACCCUGUUUCUCAAGCAGCUGCUCCCUCUAUUAAAAACUGAGUCAUUCAGAAGAUCCAGCGAAAGCAGCUCAUGCAAGAAGACACACAUUCACUCAUUCACAUGGCACAGACGACAUUCUUUGUUUGUCACAGUCUUUUUUUUUAAGUAAGUCAGUUCGUCACUUAUUUAUUCUCUCUCUAUAUAUAUAUAAUAUUUUAAGCACAGAAUUUAUUUUAACAUUGCACUGGUUAUUUUCAGAAUUUAAUGCUUACUAUGCUUUUAAGCAGGCCUUAUGUAACAUUAGCGCAAAUCCAAUUGCAAUUUCUUUGAGAGCGCUCUUGAGGAAUAGUUUAUAUAUUUAUUUUCUGCAGAUCUGUUUUGAUUUUACUGUUUAGCAGCUAUAUGACUAUAUUUCUAAAAUAAAGCUGUCAUUUACAUCCUUA